rnacentral:rRNA from 1 species
AUUGAACGCUGGCGGCAUGCCUUACACAUGCAAGUCGAACGUGAAAGGGGGGCAACCCCCGACGUAGAGUGGCGGACGGGUGAGCAACACAUCGGAACGUACCCAGUAGUGGGGACGAACCUCGAGAAAUCGAGGCUAAUACCGCAUACGACCCACGGGUGAAAGCGGGGACCGCAAGCCUCGCGCUAUUGGAGCGGCCGAUGUCCGAUUAGCUUGUUGGUGGGGUAACGGCCCACCAAGGCGACGAUCGGUAGCUGGUCUGAGAGGAUGAUCAGCCACACUGGGACUGAGACACGGCCCA